GAUGAAGAACGCAGCGAAAUGCGAUAAGUAAUGUGAAUUGCAGAAUUCAGUGAAUCAUCGAAUCUUUGAACGCACAUUGCGCCCGCCAGUAUUCUGGCGGGCAUGCCUGUCCGAGCGUCAUUUCAACCCUCGAACCCCUCCGGGGGGUCGGCGUUGGGGAUCGGCCCUUUCACCGGGUGCCGGCCCCUAAAUACAGUGGCGGUCUCGCCGCAGCCUCUCAUGCGCAGUAGUUUGCACACUCGCACCGGGAGCGCGGCGCGUCCUCGUCCGUAAAACACCCCAAACUUCUGAAAUGUUGACCUCGGAUCAGGUAGGAAUACCCGCUGAACUUAAGCAUAUCAAUAAGCGGAGGA
rnacentral:misc_RNA from 1 species